CCUACGGGUGGCAGCAGUGGGGAAUAUUGCACAAUGGGGGAAACCCUGAUGCAGCGACGCCGCGUGAGUGAAGAAGUAUUUCGGUAUGUAAAGCUCUAUCAGCAGGGAAGAAAAUGACGGUACCUGACUAAGAAGCCCCGGCUAACUACGUGCCAGCAGCCGCGGUAAUACGUAGGGGGCAAGCGUUAUCCGGAUUUACUGGGUGUAAAGGGAGCGUAGACGGCCAGACAAGUCAGAAGUGAAAGCCCAGGGCUCAACCCUGGGACUGCUUUUGAAACUGCCGGGCUGGAGUGCAGGAGAGGUAAGCGGAAUUCCUAGUGUAGCGGUGAAAUCCGUAGAUAUUAGAAGGAACACCAAUAGCGUAGGCAGGUUGCUGGGACGGUUCUGACACUAAGGCACGAAAGCGUAGGGAGCAAACGGGAUUAGAUACCCCAGUAGUC
rnacentral:rRNA from 1 species